rnacentral:rRNA from 1 species
UACGGGGGGGGCAAGCGUUGUUCGGAAUUACUGGGCGUAAAGGGCUUGUAGGUGGCCAACUAAGUCAAACGUGAAAUCCCUCGGCUUAACCGGGGAACUGCGUCUGAUACUGGAUGGCUCGAGUGUGGGAGAGGGAUGCGGAAUUCCAGGUGUAGCGGUGAAAUGCGUAGAUAUCUGGAGGAACACCGGUGGCGAAGGCGGCAUCCUGGACCAUAACUGACACUGAUAAGCGAAAGCCAGGGGAGCAAACGGG